GUGUGUGCUGAUGGCCGCCUGGAGCCUGGGAAGCGGCGCCCAGAUGGUCAAGCAGCCGGUGGGGGACGUGCACGCCGAGCAGGGUGACGCCGUGACGCUGGGCUGCAGCUACGAAGGCUCCGGAACUAACGACUACAUCUCCUGGUUCAGAAAGACCAGGAACCAGAGACCAGAGUUCAUCCUGAGCCGCUUCACGACCAGUCAGCAGAAGACGGUGAGCGUCGUUGACGAGAGGUUCAGCUGCAAGUUCGAUGGCAGCACCAACCAAGUUCCGCUGGAGAUCCGAGACGUGCAGAUGAAGGACUCUGCUGUCUACUACUGCGCCCUGAAGCCCACAGUGACUGCCGGCUCUGCUGCACACGUACACAAACUCCUGUAGGCCCCUGGGGUCUAAGGUCACAUGGCCACUUUUGUGCUGCGCCGUUAAUAUGACCUCCCGUAAAUACCUCAUG